UGGGGAAUAUUGCGCAAUGGGGGAAACCCUGACGCAGCUACGCCGCGUGGAUGAUGAAGGCCUUCGGGUUGUAAAGUCCUGUCGGGAGGGAAGAAGUUUUGACGGUACCUCCCAAGAAAGCACCGGCCAACUCCGUGCCAGCAGCCGCGGUAAUACGGAGGGUGCAAGCGUUGCUCGGAAUUACUGGGCGUAAAGGGUACGCAGGCGGGCCAUCAUGUCGGAUGUGAAAGCCCGGGGCUCAACCCCGGAAAGUCGUUCGAAACGGGUGGUCUAGAGUAUGGGAGAGGGAAGUGGAAUUCCUGGUGUAGAGGUGAAAUUCGUAGAGAUCAGGAGGAACACCAGUGGCGAAAGCGACUUCCUGGCCCAAUACUGACGCUCAUGUACGAAAGCGUGGGUAGCAAACAGGAUUAGAUACCCCCGUAGUCC
rnacentral:rRNA from 1 species